CAUAUUCUCUAAGGAGGAAAGCAGGGGAUCGCAAGACCUUGUGCUUUUGGAGCGGCCGAUGCCUGAUUAGCUAGUUGGUGGGGUAAAGGCCUACCAAGGCAACGAUCAGUAGUUGGUCUGAGAGGACGACCAGCCACACUGGGACUGAGACACGGCCCAGACUCCUACGGGAGGCAGCAGUGGGGAAUUUUGGACAAUGCGGCGAGAGCCUGAUCCAGCAAUGCCGCGUGAGUGAAGAAGGCCUUCGGGUUGUAAAGCUCUUUCAGUCGAGAAGAAAAGGUUGUGACAAAUAAUCACAACUUAUGACGGUAUCGACAGAAGAAG
rnacentral:rRNA from 1 species